rnacentral:rRNA from 1 species
UACAGAGGUCCCAAGCGUUGUUCGGAUUCAUUGGGCGUAAAGGGUGUGUAGGUGGCGCCGUAAGUCGGGUGUGAAAUCUCGGGGCUUAACUCCGAAACUGCAUUCGAUACUGCGGUGCUUGAGGACUGGAGAGGAGACUGGAAUUCAUGGUGUAGCAGUGAAAUGCGUAGAGAUCAUGAGGAAGACCAGUGGCGAAGGCGGGUCUCUGGACAGUUCCUGACGCUCAGGCGCGACAGCGUGGGGAUCAAACAGG